UGAGCGGAAUACUUAGUACGGCGAGUGAGCGGUAAAAGCUCAAAUUUGAAAUCUGGUACUUUCAGUGCCCGAGUUGUAAUUUGUAGAAUUUGUCUUUGAUUAGGUCCUUGUCUAUGUUCCUUGGAACAGGACGUCAUAGAGGGUGAGAAUCCCGUUUGGCGAGGAUACCUUUUCUCUGUAAGACUUUUUCGAAGAGUCGAGUUGUUUGGGAAUGCAGCUCAAAGUGGGUGGUAAAUUCCAUCUAAAGCUAAAUAUUGGCGAGAGACCGAUAGCGAACAAGUACAGUGAUGGAAAGAUGAAAAGAACUUUGAAAAGAGAGUGAAAAAGUACGUGAAAUUGUUGAAAGGGAAGGGCAUUUGAUCAGACAUGGUGUUUUUUGCAUGCACUCGCCUCUCGUGGGCUUGGGCCUCUCAAAAAUUUCACUGGGCCAACAUCAAUUCUGGCAGCAGGAUAAAUCAUUAAGAAUGUAGCUACUUCGGUAGUGUUAUAGCUUUUUGGAAUACUGUUAGCCGGGAUUGAGGACUGCGCUUCGGCAAGGAUGUUGGCAUAAUGGUUAAAUGCCGCCCGUCUUGAAACACAAAACCAA
rnacentral:rRNA from 1 species